CACAACUCUAGGGUUCCCGGGUGGGGCCUUUCCGUAAGGUGGCGGCGACACCUGGCGCCGGCGAAAGCGAGAGAAAGAAAAAAGUUGAAACGAUGGGAACUCCAAAGAGCACAAUCCUUACGUGAGGGAGCAAAAGCAUACAGAUUGACAUUGCACGUGUGAACCAAAGUUUAGUGUACGGGACAAAUUCAGUUUCAGUCUUCAAACGUUUGGAGGGGAUCUAUCUAUGGUGCCUCCGGGAACCAUGCCCCUUUGAUGUUAGAUCGUCGUAAUUCAGUACAAAAUAACAUAAAUUGCAGACACCCGUGUUCAUAUAGUCGUGAAUUGCCAAUGUCAUGAAGCACGUAGUUGUCCAUCGUAGUUGUUCAUGUAGUCGUGAUGGCUGUUUCGAUCUUUGGCAAAUCUGGGAGCUUCUUUUGGAUUUAUUGUGUUUAUGUUUGGUUUUUGUGAGUAAGAUGCAGAUUUUGAAUUGAGGCAUUAUUCUUUUUUUGGUGAAGGAGUUGAUUCAAUAUGCAGAAGAAGAUUGAGAUUAAGCUUGAGGUAGAGCACCCAAAACACAAAAACGAGGCAUUCAGGGUUGCAGCUCUAGCAGAUGAACGAUGAAUUGGUCUGACGCUCCACCUCUUGCUUUGCUGUUGAUGCCUACCACAAGAUGCUUUCGUUCAUGGCUAUUGCUGAUUCUACUAGCUGAUUUGGCUCUGGGUUGUGAGCUCUCACUACGCAAUCGUUUCGCGCCUUCCACUUAUGCCAUAGAAUCACCGAGGGAAGUUCAGAAGAAACCGAGGGCCGGGUAAAACCAGAUGUUUGUCGCCUCGGGGCGGAGUAGAAGGACGUGCUCAAUGGCCUCGGGUUGCUGAGGGGCAUAAUUGCAGAAAGGAUCAAGUACAAUUCUCUUCUUAACACGGAUUUUCCUGAGUAGACAGUGCAUUUUGACAAAUACUCCAAAGAAAAGAAACCUGAUUUUGGGUAGUGUUGGGGUCUGCCAUACUCUGGUCCAAAAAGGUCGUGGUGCUUGGAAAGAGGAUGAAGCUGUAUAAACAUCUGGUUUUGCAAGAUUCUCUCUGUUUUUACUGUACCCGCUCUUCACGGAAAAAAAGUCCCAGAUUUGGAGUUGGACCACACCAAUUUUGUCUUCUAUAUGGCCUGAGAUCCUAGAGGGACCGCAAGAAUUUCAUUGAUAGUCUCUUCAUAAAACAUAUCUCGUAGGAUGUGUUCAUUCCA